CAAUAGCAGUUAACCUCCUUAAUGUAAUCACUUAACAUAACCACAAUUUUGAAUAUUACCAUUGUAUUAACUAACAUUUAAAAAAUACAAAAAAAAAUGAUGUUCAAUUUGAUGUCAAAGUUAGUCUAAACAUCAAAAUUGAACACCACCAAAAUAUACACAAAACAAAUUUCUAAGUCUAACAAAAGUCUAAAGAGUCGACCUCCUA
rnacentral:lncRNA from 1 species